GAUUUGGCUCGGCGCGGUUUGCCCUAGAGUCAUUUUUUUCUGUCUCCUUUUCCUGCGCGCGCUGUGGAAAGUCACUACAUCGGAACCGGUGGCCAUGAAAGGAACCGCUUGUGUUUGCAACGUCAUGGGCGAGAGGCCGGCAGUGGCUAAGUGACAGAUGAGCAGCCUGUAGUGUCUGUCUCCAGAACAAGAUUUUACUUCUGGGAAUUAACACACAAGUUACCUCAAUUACUGAUGACUGAAUUCACAACGUAAGAAACCAUCUGAAAUUUCCAAUGGAAUAUCAGAAGAAGAUGCUCGUUCUGUGGAUUACCAUAAUUUGUUUACAUGUUCCACCAUGCAGCUAUGCCAUACUUUUAGAUAUCACUAAAAAUAUGCUCACAUGCAGGGCUUCAGCAGAUAUUAUUAAACUCAAAAGAUGAUCAUGCUAA